GAUGAACGCUGGCGGCGUGCCUAAUACAUGCAAGUCGAGCGAACAGACGAGGAGCUUGCUCCUCUGACGUUAGCGGCGGACGGGUGAGUAACACGUGGAUAACCUACCUAUAAGACUGGGAUAACUUCGGGAAACCGGAGCUAAUACCGGAUAAUAUAUUGAACCGCAUGGUUCAAUAGUGAAAGACGGUUUUGCUGUCACUUAUAGAUGGAUCCGCGCCGCAUUAGCUAGUUGGUAAGGUAACGGCUUACCAAGGCAACGAUGCGUAGCCGACCUGAGAGGGGGGAUCGGCACACCUGAACUGAAACAAGGGCCCAGCCCCCAAGGGAAGCAAGAGGAGGGAAUUCUUCGCAAUGGGCGAAAGCUUGACGGAGCAACGCCGCGUGAGUGAUGAAGGUCUUCGGAUCGUAAAACUCUGUUAUUAGGGAAGAACAAAUGUGUAAGUAACUAUGCACGUCUUGACGGUACCUAAUCAGAAAGCCACGGCUAACUACGUG
rnacentral:rRNA from 1 species